ensembl:snRNA U6 U6 spliceosomal RNA
GUGCUCUCUUCAGCAGCACAUAUACUAAAAUUGGAACGAUACAGAGAAUAUUAGCAUCGCCCCUGCGCAAGGACGGCACACAAAUUCGUGAAGCAUUCCAUAUUUUU